rnacentral:sRNA from 1 species
CAGAUGACCAGCAUGGAUAAGAAGAACCUAGGAAAAGGGAAUAGAAUAUGCAAGGCACAUUCAAGAGUACUGACGUGGAAAAUCAAGAAUAUACUGAGUUACUGACGCUAAUAGCCAAAGUGAUAACUAAAAGCCUUUGAAGACCUCAGCAAACUAAUGAUCAAGGCUAAGGAAAUGGUGGAGUUAUCAAAAUCAAUUGCUAAUAAAAUUAAAGACAAACAAGGUGACAUCACAGAAGAUGAGACCAUCAGGUUUAAAUCCUACUUGCUGAGCAUGGGAAUAGCUAACCCAGUUACCAGAGAAACCUACGGCUCAGGCACACAGUACCACAUGCAGCUGGCCAAACAACUGGCUGGAAUAUUGCAGGUGCCUUUAGAGGUAAAAACUAAACCUAUGUGGUUUUUUAAAAACUGUAUUAAAUUAGCCCUAUGUCAUCAGAAAUGUUAACAAGAGCAUAACUACUUUCAUGAUAUGGUUAUUGUCAACUGACUUUUUUUUUUUCUUUCAGGUGUAUUAAAUAAGUUCAUUGUGCUUAUUA